GUGGGGAAUAUUGGGCAAUGGGCGCAAGCCUGACCCAGCAAUGCCGCGUGAAGGAAGAAGGCUUUCGGGUUGUAAACUUCUUUGACAGGGGAAGAGCAGAAGACGGUACCCUGAAAACAAGCCACGGCUAACUACGUGCCAGCAGCCGCGGUAAUACGUAGGUGGCAAGCGUUGUCCGGAUUUACUGGGUGUAAAGGGCGUGUAGCCGGGAAGGCAAGUCAGAUGUGAAAUCCGGAGGCUCAACCUCCGAAUUGCAUUUGAAACUGUUUUUCUUGAGUACUGGAGAGGCAGACGGAAUUCCUUGUGUAGCGGUGAAAUGCGUAGAUAUAAGGAGGAACACCAGUGGCGAAGGCGGUCUGCUGGACAGCAACUGACGGUGAGGCGCGAAAGCGUGGGGAGCAAACAGG
rnacentral:rRNA from 1 species